rnacentral:rRNA from 1 species
CAAGGUUGAAACUCAAAGGAAUUGACGGGGGCCCGCACAAGCGGUGGAGCAUGUGGUUUAAUUCGAAGCAACGCGAAGAACCUUACCAGGUCUUGACAUCCUUUGACCACUCUGGAGACAGAGCUUUCCCUUCGGGGACAAAGUGACAGGUGGUGCAUGGUUGUCGUCAGCUCGUGUCGUGAGAUGUUGGGUUAAGUCCCGCAACGAGCGCAACCCUUGAUUUUAGUUGCCAGCAUUUAGUUGGGCACUCUAAAGUGACUGCCGGUGCAAGCCGGAGGAAGGUGGGGAUGACGUCAAAUCAUCAUGCCCCUUAUGACCUGGGCUACACACGUGCUACAAUGGAUAGUACAAAGGGUCGCGAAGCCGCGAGGUGGAGCUAAUCCCAUAAAACUAUUCUCAGUUCGGAUUGUAGGCUGCAACUCGCCUACAUGAAGCCGGAAUCGCUAGUAAUCGUGGAUCAGCAUGCCACGGUGAAUACGUUCCCGGGCCUUGUACACACCGCCCGUCACACCACGAGAGUUUGUAACACCCGAAGUCGGUAGGGUAACCUUUAUGGAGCCAGCCGCCGAAGGUGGGACAGAUAAUUGGGGUGAAGUCGUAACAAGGUAGCCGUAUCGGAAGGUGCGGCUGGAUCACCUCCUUU